ACCUUCUCAGGGUCACACCUGGAGAGUUUCCAGUACUCUACUGGCCUCGACCAUGAGAGUGAAAGUCAAGCAGAGGCAUACCCAUUCCAUUCCUAGCUUAGGCGGUGGCUAGUGAGUGGAAACCAAUCUGCUACAAGU
rfam:Ornithorhynchus anatinus chromosome 4, whole genome shotgun sequence.